AAAAAGUUGGGAUUAAAACCAAUUUGUACAUUUUGCAACCCAAAAAUCAACAUAUAGAUGCCUCUCUUGCGGCAAGACCUGCACAGUGGGAGACCAAUGAACCUGAAUGAACUGAACUAAGUGAACUCUGAAACUGAAUGGAAAUCCCACUGCAGACUAAUCGCACACACACACACACACACACCCACACCAGGGUGUUUAGGACUAAAGUCCCCCACCACAAAGUACAUCAAAGAGCAGAUUAUACAGCAGGAAGAUCCUUUCACCUGUAAACCGUUCAAGAACCAUCCAUUCAAAAAUGGCAUGACUCUGGAAGCUUUUCUGACAGCUUGAUUUGUAAAAGUUCACCGACCUUCACUUGCUCCAGUCUGUCUGCUGCUCUUGAGGAUGGACAGACGCACGGCGGGGACGCGCUGCACGGACACGGGGGCGCGCACUCCACCAUGCACACCUGCUCACCCGGAGCCGC